GACGAACGCUGGCGGCGUGCUUAACACAUGCAAGUCGAACGGUCCUGAUUAACUGAAAUUUUCGAAUGGAAGUUAUGACUGGAUAGUGGCGGACGGGUGAGUAACGCGUGGGUAAUCUGCCCUUAUGACCGGGACAACAGUUGGAAACGACUGCUAAUACCGGAUGUGCUGGUUGGUUGGCAUCAACCGAUCAGGAAAUGGAGGCCUCUAUUUAUAAGCUCCCGCAUAAGGAUGAACCCGCGUCUGAUUAGCUAGUUGGUAAGGUAACGGCGUACCAAGGCGACGAUGAGUAGCCGGCCGGAGAGGGUGGCCGGCCACACUGGGACUGAGACACGGCCCAGACUCCUACGGGGGGCAGCAGUGGGGAAUCUUGCACAAUGGGGGAAACCCUGAUGCAGCAACGCCGCGUGAAGGAAGAAGGGUUUCGGCUCGUAGACUACUAUCAUCGGGGAAGAAGAAAAUGACGGUACCCGAAUAAGAAGCCCCGGCUAACUACGUGCCAGCCGCCGCCGUAAGAC
rnacentral:rRNA from 1 species